GGAUUGCACGCCGCCUGCUUGGGCAGCUCAGCAGGGAAGAGCUACGCUGGGAUCUGCCUUUCCUGGCAUUCCUUGUGGAGGUCCUGGACUGCUUGGAUUUGACUAAAUGUGCUGACAGCAUCAUUGAAAUCAUGUCAAGGCAUGUGCAGGGCAAGUGCAGGGAAAGGCGUCACCUGGCGCUCAGAGGCCUUGUGGUGCUCAGCAAGGAUCCCUCGAUGGCCAGAAAAAUGUGUAGCCUCUCUCAAAGCCUUCUGGAGCUGCUGCGUGAUGCAG